GAUGUGGUGACCCAUCUGCUACCCACUGAGGACAACCUAAAAAUUGUGGCCACCAUGAGAAAGGCCUACAAUUUUGUAUUGAUCAAAGAAGGGAACUCCACGACGACAUUGCCCGAUCCACACCCUGAGGCCCAGCCCGAUCCACACCCUCAGGCCCUGCUCGAUCCACACCCUCAGGCCCUGCGCGAUCCACACCCUCAGGCCCUGCUCGAUCCACACCCUCAGGCCCUGCGCGAUCCACACCCUCAGGCCGAUCCACACCCUGAGGCCCUGCCCGAUCCACACCCUCAGGCCCAGUUUGUUUAUCUGUUACAUUUCAUCAAGCACUAUAUAUGUAUAGGUUUUAUAAAAACAAUGAAAUACAAGACCGUACAAUAUUUUUUGAAAAUAUUUAUGCUGUGAAACUAUUGUUAAAAUGGCUCCUGUUUUUCACUGUUCUAAUGUUAUUUUUUUACUGAUACUUACAGUGGAAAAAUCUGGGAGGAGACAUGGGAGCCGGCCUGCCAGUUCUCACCAGGUGCCAACUAUGUGUAAUGUCACACAUUGGUCUGUAAUUCAAUGAGUUAAAUACCUGCUAUGAGAUGUCAAGUUUGCCGUUACGGGCCCAGCCAUCCUGCUUGCGGAUGUGACUACUUUAGAUGAGGAGGAGCCGCGUUACACACUUUCAAUGGUUUCCACCCUAACAUGCUGUCAUGCUGUUUUUUCAUUUAUUUUUUAAUUAUUGAUUUUUG